rnacentral:misc_RNA from 1 species
CUGAGUUAGGGUCUUCAUGGCCCGACCUCCAACCCAAUGUUUAAUCAUACCACGUUGCUUCGGCGGGCCCGUCCCCUCGGGGACCGCUGGAGGGUCUCACCCCCCUCUGGCCUGUCGCCCGCCGGCAGCCAUCACACCAAAACUCUUGAUCAACCAUGUCGUCUGAGUCUCAAUUUAUAAUUAAAUUA